CGAUUGGCGUUGAACUGAAUGGCUAGUAUGUGUUCAGCCGAUAGGUGUACUCACAUGCUAUGUCUACUUACCAUGGGUUCUCAGUACGGAAUGCAAGUUUCGUGCUGGGGGCUGAGGGCUCCCUUCGGGUUUAGAGGAUGGUAAGGCAACGACGCGAUUCGACCCGUCUUGAAACACGGACCAAGGAGUCUAGCGUACCUGCGAGUCAAAGGGUUUUCAAACCUGAGGGCGCAGUGAAAGCAAAUUGUUAUGAAAACGUGCAGUUUGGAGCGGCAUGCGAUCGUUGAUUGCAAGUCCGACUUUGAGCAGGCACGCUAGGACCCGAAAGAUGGUGAACUAUGCUUGAGCAGGGCGAAGCCAGAGGAAACUCUGGUGGAGGCUCGAAGCGAUGCUGACGUGCAAAUCGCUCGUCAAACUUGAGUAUAGGGGCGAAAGACUAAUCGAACCAUCUAGUAGCUGGUUUCCUCCGAAGUUUCUCUCAGGAUAGCGGGCCAACUUUAUGUUGUCGUGUGCGGUAAAGCGAAUGAUUAGCGUAUUGGGGGCUUUUAAGCCUUCGAAUGAUUCUCAAACUUUAAAUGCGCACUGAUGUUGCUGCUUGGGUGAGCGGCUCGUUAGAAACGUUUGGCUUUGUGGGCCAUUUUUGGUAAGCAGAACUGGCGAUACGGGAUGAACCGUAAGCGUGGUUAAGGUGCCAAAUUAUCCGCUUAUAGAUCCCAAAAAAGGUGUUGAUUCAUUAAGACAGCAGGACGGUGGCCAUGGAAGUCGGAAUCCGCUAAGGAGUGUGUAACAACUCACCUGCCGAAUGAAUUAGCCCUGAAAAUGGAUGGCGCUCAAGCGGGUAACCGACACCACGCCGUUUGGUCAAGAAACGCUAUCAAAUGAGUAGGAGGACGUGGCGGUCGUAUCGAAGCAUUCCCGCGAGGGCCUGUGGAACGGCCGCUAGUACAGAUCUUGGUGUCAGUAGCAAAUAUUUAAGUGAAAACCUUGAAGGGCGAAGCGGGGAAGGGUUCCACGCCAACAUUGAUUGGGCGUGGGUGAAUCGUUCCUAAGCCGCGUGGCAAUAGCUAAUAAUCCGGCGAAAGGGAAGCAGGUUGAUAUUCCUGCAUAUGGAUGUGGAAGCGGUGACGCGACAUCAGAGAUAGUUAAGUCGGCGGUGGUCCUGGCCAGAGUUUUCUUUUCUGUUUAACCAAUCCUACUUGUAUUGUGUGGAAUUCGCUUGUCGAGAGAAACACAUACGCUUGGGAAUAGCGCCGGGGUUUUUCCGGCGUCCAGUGCACCCUCGUCGUCCCUUGAAACACUAUCUGCUGGCA
rnacentral:rRNA from 1 species